rnacentral:lncRNA from 1 species
CCUAAAUGCCACUACUAAUUAUAUAAUUUUCUGCCUACAAUACCUUUAUUCUUUUGCAUCUAUAUUCUUUACAUGUAUUCCAUUUAUAUUCUUUACAUGUAUUCCAUUUAUAUGUCUCUGACUGAUAGAAAGAAAAAAUGUCUGCCAAAUUUCCUUUUGCUUUUCUAGGAAAAUGUUGGUCAAAACUAGAUUAAAUAUGAGGAAAAAGAGGCUAAAAAUAAUUUCCAGCUUCUGGCAUGAAGAUUCAGACAUUGUAAAAUGCAUCACAUCUCCUGGAUGAAAGCACAUUAUGGAUGCGAGCACUCUCACUCGGUUGCAGAAAUCAAGCCACUCUAAUGCAGUUCAGACUGGCAGCUUUGAUCCAGGCAGACAGAAGACUUAAUAAAAGCACUGAUGUGGCAAAGUUCUGGCUGGCAGGUUGGGCCCUGUAGGAAUUCCACUUGGGACUCAGCCUUUCAAAUUAUGUCAGGAAGUGAGGAUGAGCCAUUAAUAACAGACACAGUCUUUGGGGGUGAGUGGCCCUGUAUCACACUUGGAAGGAUUUAAAUAUUGGGUGAUUGUAACUGCCAAGAUCAUGAGGCUGAACUAAUGUUUGUACAGUAUUUCAUAGAAUACCAGAUUGGAAGAGGACCUCAAGGAUCAUCUGGUCCAACCUUUUUUGGCAAAAGCAUGGUCUAGACAAGAUUGCCCAGCAUCCCGUCCAAUGAAAGGUACUGUAAAAGGUAUUUGCAGUUUGCUUGAUUCCAGGCACCAUGGGGAGGAGUGUAACACUC